CUAAUACAUGCAAGUCGAACGCGUUGGCCCAAUUGAUUGAUGGUGCUUGCACCUGAUUGAUUUUGGUCGCCAACGAGUGGCGGACGGGUGAGUAACACGUAGGUAACCUGCCCAGAAGCGGGGGACAACAUUUGGAAACAGAUGCUAAUACCGCAUAACAGCGUUGUUCGCAUGAACAACGCUUAAAAGAUGGCUUCUCGCUAUCACUUCUGGAUGGACCUGCGGUGCAUUAGCUUGUUGGUGGGGUAACGGCCUACCAAGGCGAUGAUGCAUAGCCGAGUUGAGAGACUGAUCGGCCACAAUGGGACUGAGACACGGCCCAUACUCCUACGGGAGGCAGCAGUAGGGAAUCUUCCACAAUGGGCGCAAGCCUGAUGGAGCAACACCGCGUGAGUGAAGAAGGGUUUCGGCUCGUAAAGCUCUGUUGUUAAAGAAGAACACGUAUGAGAGUAACUGUUCAUACGUUGACGGUAUUUAACCAGAAAGUCACGGCUAACUACGUGCCAGCAGCCGCGGUAAUACGUAGGUGGCAAGCGUUAUCCGGAUUUAUUGGGCGUAAAGAGAGUGCAGGCGGUUUUCUAAGUCUGAUGUGAAAGCCUUCGGCUUAACCGGAGAAGUGCAUCGGAAACUGGAUAACUUGAGUGCAGAAGAGGGUAGUGGAACUCCAUGUGUAGCGGUGGAAUGCGUAGAUAUAUGGAAGAACACCAGUGGCGAAGGCGGCUACCUGGUCUGCAACUGACGCUGAGACUCGAAAGCAUGGGUAGCGAACAGGAUUAGAUACCCUGGUAGUCCAUGCCGUAAACGAUGAGUGCUAGGUGUUGGAGGGUUUCCGCCCUUCAGUGCCGGAGCUAACGCAUUAAGCACUCCGCCUGGGGAGUACGACCGCAAGGUUGAAACUCAAAGGAAUUGACGGGGGCCCGCACAAGCGGUGGAGCAUGUGGUUUAAUUCGAAGCUACGCGAAGAACCUUACCAGGUCUUGACAUCUUGCGCCAACCCUAGAGAUAGGGCGUUUCCUUCGGGAACGCAAUGACAGGUGGUGCAUGGUCGUCGUCAGCUCGUGUCGUGAGAUGUUGGGUUAAGUCCCGCAACGAGCGCAACCCUUGUUACUAGUUGCCAGCAUUAAGUUGGGCACUCUAGUGAGACUGCCGGUGACAAACCGGAGGAAGGUGGGGACGACGUCAGAUCAUCAUGCCCCUUAUGACCUGGGCUACACACGUGCUACAAUGGACGGUACAACGAGUCGCGAACUCGCGAGGGCAAGCAAAUCUCUUAAAACCGUUCUCAGUUCGGACUGCAGGCUGCAACUCGCCUGCACGAAGUUGGAAUCGCUAGUAAUCGCGGAUCAGCAUGCCGCGGUGAAUACGUUCCCGGGCCUUGUACACACCGCCCGUCACACCAUGAGAGUUUGUAACACCCAAAGUCGGUGGGGUAACCUUUUAGGAACCAGCUUGCCU
rnacentral:rRNA from 1 species